AGCUGAUUCAAUUUUGGUCAAAAUCUGGUUAAAGUCGAGUCACGUGGGACUGCCGAGGAAGAUGGCCGCACAUUGGAGGCGUUCCUAAAGCCUGUUGAUUAAUGUUCUGAAUUUGGAAACAUACACUUCAGCUGUAGUCAUAAAGUGGACGCCCCAUGCCGACUUUGAAGUUUUUCAAGAAUUACCGCCUUUGAAAAAUGACAGGUAAUAACAAAGCAAACUUUUUCAAGGGAGCUACCACGAGGAAGAAGCAAGCUAGCAUUAGCCUCGUUCCGGAGCUGCCCGAAAACACCUGCGUCUGAUGCCGCCUCUCCAGCAGCAGCGGAGGAAGCCAUUUCCUGGAAGUCAUGUCCAGCGCUGCUGACGAGAUCUCUGAGGCGAAAGAUGGGGCAUGAAUAAAGCUGGAUGUAUUGAUCUUCUAUGGCCACUUCUGGACACUCUAUACGCACAUGCAUCUGCACCACUGUGCACUCCAGAGUUUCACUGUCUGGACUCCAACUUGACUAAGCUUUCUUCAGUGUACACAACAAAAGUGGCGCAUGCAGCAUGCGUAUGUCAGUCAAACCAAAGCUUACACCCUCUAGCUGCAAGCAAAAGAAAAAAACGUAACUGGAUACAGGACACUGUAACACUGUUGUGUUGCCGGCCAUUUGAAGUAACUUCCAUUCAGACGAAAGCAUUACCUCAUUAAUCACAGGCAUGCCAAGAUUAGUGGGGGAACAUAAGAGAUGUAUCCGUAAUUCUAGUAAGAUCUUGACAGAUGAAUUAGCUAUAGCUGGGGCAUCUCUGUGCGUUAUUGCAGGACUCGUGCAGGGAACAGCGGAGAGGGUAGCUCACUGGGCUAGCCCAUUCUGAUCAGACACCUGUCCAGGGCAAGGCUUGCUGUCAAGGACGUCUCAGAUGACUGUUUCACUGUCUCACUGAGUGCAAUGCACAGAAUGGUAUAAAUAGAAGGCUCUCUGCACCCUAAAGCUAUUUAAAGCAGCCACUGGAGCGUGCAUAUCCCCCCAGGUCAUUCUAUGCCCCAAUCCCUGGAAGAUAUAGGCACACCAGCAAUCAGCAGCCACUUAUAGCUACUUACUUGGAGA